AACGAGCGCUGGCGGCAUGCCUAACACAUGCAAGUCGAACGAGACCUUCGGGUCUAGUGGCGCACGGGUGCGUAACGCGUGGGAACCUGCCCUUAGGUUCGGAAUAACUCCCCGAAAGGGGUGCUAAUACCGGAUAAUGUCUUCGGACCAAAGAUUUAUCGCCUUUGGAUGAGCCCGCGUUGGAUUAGCUAGUUGGUAGGGUAAAAGCCUACCAAGGCGACGAUCCAUAGCUGGUCUGAGAGGAUGAUCAGCCACACUGGGACUGAGACACGGCCCAGACUCCUACGGGAGGCAGCAGUGGGGAAUAUUGGACAAUGGGCGAAAGCCUGAUCCAGCAAUGCCGCGUGAGUGAUGAAGGCCUUAGGGUUGUAAAGCUCUUUUACCCGGGAUGAUAAUGACAGUACCGGGAGAAUAAGCUCCGGCUAACUCCGUG
rnacentral:rRNA from 1 species